GUCCAGACUCCUACGGGAGGCAGCAGUGGGGAAUAUUGGGCAAUGGGCGCAAGCCUGACCCAGCAACGCCGCGUGAAGGAAGAAGGCUUUCGGGUUGUAAACUUCUUUUAAGAGGGAAGAGUAGAAGACGGUACCUCUUGAAUAAGCCACGGCUAACUCCGUGCCAGCAGCCGCGGUAAUACGGAGGAUGCGAGCGUUAUCCGGAUUUAUUGGGUUUAAAGGGUGCGUAGGCGGUUUUUUAAGUUAGUGGUUAAACGUCGGGGCUUCACCUUGAUUUGCCAUUAAUACUGUAAGACUCGAGUUCAGACGAGGUAGGCGGAAUAAGUUAAGUAGCGGUGAAAUGCUUAGAUAUAACUUAGAACUCCGAUAGCGAAGGCAGCUUACCAGACUGCGACUGACGCUGAAGCACGAGAGCGUGGGUAGCGAACAGGAUUAGAUACCCCGGUAAUG
rnacentral:rRNA from 1 species